rnacentral:rRNA from 1 species
CAUGCAAGUCGAGCGAANGACGAGGAGCUUGCUCCUCUGACGUUAGCGGCGGACGGGUGAGUAACACGUGGAUAACCUACCUAUAAGACUGGGAUAACUUCGGGAAACCGGAGCUAAUACCGGAUAAUAUAUUGAACCGCAUGGUUCAAUAGUGAAAGACGGUUUUGCUGUCACUUAUAGAUGGAUCCGCGCCGCAUUAGCUAGUUGGUAAGGUAACGGCUUACCAAGGCAACGAUGCGUAGCCGACCUGAGAGGGUGAUCGGCCACACUGGAACUGAGACACGGUCCAGACUCCUACGGGAGGCAGCAGUAGGGAAUCUUCCGCAAUGGGCGAAAGCCUGACGGAGCAACGCCGCGUGAGUGAUGAAGGUCUUCGGAUCGUAAAACUCUGUUAUUAGGGAAGAACAAAUGUGUAAGUAACUAUGCACGUCUUGACGGUACCUAAUCAGAAAGCCACGGCUAACUACGUGCCAGCAGCCGCGGUAAUACGUAGGUGGCAAGCGUUAUCCGGAAUUAUUGGGCGUAAAGCGCGCGUAGGCGGUUUUUUAAGUCUGAUGUGAAAGCCCACGGCUCAACCGUGGAGGGUCAUUGGAAACUGGAAAACUUGAGUGCAGAAGAGGAAAGUGGAAUUCCAUGUGUAGCGGUGAAAUGCGCAGAGAUAUGGAGGAACACCAGUGGCGAAGGCGACUUUCUGGUCUGUAACUGACGCUGAUGUGCGAAAGCGUGGGGAUCAAACAGGAUUAGAUACCCUGGUAGUCCACGCCGUAAACGAUGAGUGCUAAGUGUUAU